rnacentral:snRNA from 1 species
AUCGCUUCUCGGCCUUUUGGCUAAGAUCAAGUGUAGUAAAAAUAACCACUAUUACUACUGAAUGUAGGCCCUAUAGCCUACUUUUAUUAAAUAUUCAGGGAUUUGCAUUCAUAAAUCUGAAAGCAAAUCAAACCCUA